GAAAUAAUGCACAGGGCAGAGGGAUGUAAGCUAAUCUUGAACCCUGCUGACAUUAUCUGUGUGCUGAUUUGUCAUUCUGACAAGCAGCCCGGUGAAGUUAUUACUCUAAUAAAACAAAAAGCCAGAUUACCGAGUAACGUCUGUGUUUCCAGGAGCCAGGAGGAGAGUCCUUGAAGGAGCUCUUUGAGGAGCGGAUGUGAGGGAGGACAGCAACAAAGCUUUUUGGGAUCUGGAGAAGUCUCGAUAUAAAGGCCGACCGGGACAGGCUGAGGCUCAGACCCGUGGAGCCCUGCUCAUCUGAACCAACACUUCCCCAAACAACUGACCGAGGCUGACACACAGCACGCGAGCGGAGGAUGAGCAUGCGUGCAGCAGUGGCGGGUUGCGUGGUACUGGUGUGCCUGCUGGCUCUAGUGGUAGAGAGGACAGAGGGACACAUCACCUUCUUCAGCCCCAAGGAGCUAUUGCAGAUGAAGCAGAACGGUAAGAAAGACAUGGAGACUCGCUCAGAGGACGGCCAGUUCCAACAGGAACACGACAGAAAUCCUGUGAGCACGCGGCCCGCCUCGUCCUCAACGUCCGGGUGACAAACGUCAGUUAUUUUCUAACUUUUUAAAAAAUGUCUUAUUUUUUUUGUUUUGUGCGUCGUUUCCAGGACAAGACGUUGGAGGUAGCUGUUCGUCUUUUACCCAGACAGGUGGAUCACGUGGCUCCGGUGCUCGAAGAGAUCAUCCAUGAAAUAGUGGAGCAGAGUCAGAAAGGUAACUGGCGCCAUCUUGUUUGUCCUUGAUUAGAAAAGUGUUAUGUGACCUCCUUUCUUUUAAAUCUGUGUCUCAGCAGACAAAUAGCGAGGCUACGGGCGCCGGAGGGAGAAAAGUCGUGUAAAUUGUUCAGAAAAGCACUGAAUGCUAUAAAUGUUUCGUUGUGUCUAAAUGAAUCAAACAAUAAAGAGAAGUGAUUGUAUCAUGCAUUGGAGGUUCUGGAGUAAUUCUUGAGAGACGUGUUG